rnacentral:rRNA from 1 species
GACGAACGCUGGCGGCGUGCUUAACACAUGCAAGUCGAACGAAGUGGCGAACGGGUGAGUAACGCGUAAUCAACCUGCCCUUCAGAGGGGGACACCAGUUGGAACCGACUGCUCAUACCGCAUACUGAAGGAGGGGAUUGCGUCUGAUUAGGUAGUUGGAGGGGUAAGGGCCCACCAAGGCGAUGUUCAGUCGCCGGGCUGAGGGGAUGAACGGCCACAUUGGGACUGGGACACGGCCCAGACUCCUACGGGAGGCAGCAGUGGGGAAUCUUCCGGAAUGGACGAAAGUCUGACGGAGCAACGCCGCGUUAGUGAUGACGGCCUUCGGGUUGUAAAGCUCUGUUAAUCGGGACGCGGUACCGGAAUAGAAAGCCACGGCUAACUACGUGCCAGCAGCCGCGGUAAUAC